GUUACACGAGUCGGGUUUCUCCAGAAUGUCCCAUUUACCGCAGAACUCCAUUCUCCUUUCAGAAAUUAUCUAAAUCCGCCUUCUUUACUUUAAAAGAAAAAAAAACAUCAUACCUAACACUUUCGUAAUAUAAAUCUCACAUUUUAUCUCUAUAUUUUUUUUCUUUUAAAGUGAAAAAUGUAGGUUAUGAUAUUUUUUUUUGGUCAUUCUGGUGAUUCUCGAAUUCGGUAGAUAGUCACAUUCAAAAUCCUACGAAAGUGCGGUUCGCUUUCGUUUCUGGUAUACCAAUUCUUGGGCUUCAAAUGCCCAUACUGCGACAAGUACUGCAAAUGGAAAAACAACCUGACGACGCAUAUUAACGAAAAACACAAUCCGAACCCAAAGUUGUACUCAUGCUCUAAAUGCCGUUUUCAGUCGAAGCGGCUGAGCAACUUAAAAACCCAUUACUUUACCAAGCACAUAAAGCAGGAAAAUAUUUAGGAUAUAAAACCUUCGGCUGCCCUCAUUGUCCAUAUUCGUCCAAAUGGAAAAGCAACGUGACAAAGCAUUGCAAUGAGAAGCACAAUCCCAACGUUAAGUACUUUGAAUGCAAUUUAUGCUCCUACAAGACGAAAAGGAGAAAUGAAUUAAAGACACACAACUUUUUCAAGCACGUGCUCUCUUCAAAUUCAGUAGACCUCGUUAGUUAAGUUUAAAAAUGAAACCGUUUUUUUCAAAUGUGUAAUUUUACGGUUUAACAAUUCUUGUUUUUAAAUUUUUUUUAAUAAACUUUGAUUCAGUUGUUUAGUGAGAAACUUUUUUUUUUAAUUUUCAAUCAAACAAGAAUAUAGUGGAGGGCGUUUACAAAUUUACAAGAAGAAAACAGAAUAUUGUUGAGGAAAAUAAAAAGAUGCUGUUGUGCGAGGUGUGCUUCUUUUCGUCGAAGUCGCGUUCCGAACUCGAGAACCAUUCUUGCAUCAAG